rnacentral:tRNA from 1 species
CUGCCCGUGGCACAGCUGGAUAGCGCGUCAGACUCCGACUCUGAAGGUCGAAGGUUCGAAUCCUUUCGGGCAGGCCA